ACAUUGAAACACUAGUUCCUGUAUGAUCACUGAUGUUAAACAACAUCGAACCUGGUCAGUAGCUAGAUGGGUGACUGCAUGGGAAUACCAUGUGCUGUAAG